GUUUUUAUAGUUUAACUAAAACAUUGGUCUUGUAAACCAAAAUUAAGAUAUUUCUUUAAAAACU
rnacentral:tRNA from 1 species